rnacentral:rRNA from 1 species
GGCCUAACACAUGCAAGUCGAACGGUAGCACAGAGAGCUUGCUCUCGGGUGACGAGUGGCGGACGGGUGAGUAAUGUCUGGGAAACUGCCUGAUGGAGGGGGAUAACUACUGGAAACGGUAGCUAAUACCGCAUAACGUCGCAAGACCAAAGAGGGGGACCUUCGGGCCUCUUGCCAUCAGAUGUGCCCAGAUGGGAUUAGCUAGUAGGUGGGGUAACGGCUCACCUAGGCGACGAUCCCUAGCUGGUCUGAGAGGAUG